rnacentral:rRNA from 1 species
AAGGCGUGCGAUACAGGGUGACAGCCCCGUACACAAAAAUGCACAUGCUGUGAGCUCGAUGAGUAGGGCGGGACACGUGGUAUCCUGUCUGAAUAUGGGGGGACCAUCCUCCAAGGCUAAAUACUCCUGACUGACCGAUAGUGAACCAGUACCGUGAGGGAAAGGCGAAAAGAACCCCGGCGAGGGGAGUGAAAAAGAACCUGAAACCGUGUACGUACAAGCAGUGGGAGCACGCUUAGGCGUGUGACUGCGUACCUUUUGUAUAAUGGGUCAGCGACUUAUAUUCUGUAGCAAGGUUAACCGAAUAGGGGAGCCGAAGGGAAACCGAGUCUUAACUGGGCGUUAAGUUGCAGGGUAUAGACCCGAAACCCGGUGAUCUAGCCAUGGGCAGGUUGAAGGUUGGGUAACACUAACUGGAGGACCGAACCGACUAAUGUUGAAAAAUUAGCGGAUGACUUGUGGCUGGGGGUGAAAGGCCAAUCAAACCGGGAGAUAGCUGGUUCUCCCCGAAAGCUAUUUAGGUAGCGCCUCGUGAAUUCAUCUCCGGGGGUAGAGCACUGUUUCGGCAAGGGGGUCAUCCCGACUUACCAACCCGAUGCAAACUGCGAAUACCGGAGAAUGUUAUCACGGGAGACACACGGCGGGUGCUAACGUCCGUCGUGAAGAGGGAAACAACCCAGACCGCCAGCUAAGGUCCCAAAGUCAUGGUUAAGUGGGAAACGAUGUGGGAAGGCCCAGACAGCCAGGAUGUUGGCUUAGAAGCAGCCAUCAUUUAAAGAAAGCGUAAUAGCUCACUGGUCGAGUCGGCCUGCGCGGAAGAUGUAACGGGGCUAAACCAUGCACCGAAGCUGCGGCAGCGACGCUUAUGCGUUGUUGGGUAGGGGAGCGUUCUGUAAGCCUGCGAAGGUGUGCUGUGAGGCAUGCUGGAGGUAUCAGAAGUGCGAAUGCUGACAUAAGUAACGAUAAAGCGGGUGAAAAGCCCGCUCGCCGGAAGACCAAGGGUUCCUGUCCAACGUUAAUCGGGGCAGGGUGAGUCGACCCCUAAGGCGAGGCCGAAAGGCGUAGUCGAUGGGAAACAGGUUAAUAUUCCUGUACUUGGUGUUACUGCGAAGGGGGGACGGAGAAGGCUAUGUUGGCCGGGCGACGGUUGUCCCGGUUUAAGCGUGUAGGCUGGUUUUCCAGGCAAAUCCGGAAAAU